GACGAACGCUGGCGGCGUGCCUAAUACAUGCAAGUCGAACGCUGAAGAGAGGAGCUUGCUCUUCUUGGAUGAGUUGCGAACGGGUGAGUAACGCGUAGGUAACCUGCCUUGUAGCGGGGGAUAACUAUUGGAAACGAUAGCUAAUACCGCAUAACAAUGGAUGACACAUGUCAUUUAUUUGAAAGGGGCAAUUGUUCCACUACAAGAUGGACCUGCGUUGUAUUAGCUAGUAGGUGAGGUAAUGGCUCACCUAGGCGACGAUACAUAGCCGACCUGAGAGGGUGAUCGGCCACACUGGGACUGAGACACGGCCCAGACUCCUACGGGAGGCAGCAGUAGGGAAUCUUCGGCAAUGGGGGCAACCCUGACCGAGCAACGCCGCGUGAGGGAAGAAGGGUUUCGGAUCGUAAAGCUCUGUUGUAAGUCAAGAACGGGUGUGAGAGUGGAAAGUUCACACUGUGACGGUAGCUUACCAGAAAGGGACGGCUAACUACGUG
rnacentral:rRNA from 1 species